rnacentral:rRNA from 1 species
GUCUAUGGCCAUACCACCCUGAACGCACCCGAUCUCAUCUGAUCUCAGAAGCUAAGCAGGUUUGGGUCUGGUUAGUACUUUGGUGGGAGACUGCCUGGGAAUAAUGGUGCUGGAGCCU